rnacentral:lncRNA from 1 species
AGGAAACAGUGAAUCAAGGAUGGCCGCAGUCAUUUUCUAUAUCCAACACAGUGUUGUGCUGGGACCACACAAUAGUGUCUUAAGACAGAAAAAGGAAAUAAAAAGAAAUCGCAUAAAGGAAGAAAAGUUGUCCUUUGUAGGCAGCAUGACUGACUCUUUGAAAGCUCUUAAGGAAUCUACCAAGCCAAGGCAAAUAUACUCCGUGUCCUAAUAAAUGAAUUAAGCUAGGUCACCAGAAAUCAAAUAAACAUUAAAGGCUUCUAGCAGUGGCCACAUGGACAGUGAAGCUGAAAAAUGUAAGAUACAGUCACCCAAAGGUAGAAUAUUUGGGUGUGAAUCGAAUAAAACAUAGACAGGACUAAAUUCUGAGUGCUGAGGAAGACAACAAAGACCCCAUAAAUAGAGACAAGCAUACCUCUGGAUUAGAAACUUAGCGCAUUAGAGCUUCACUUCAUCCCAAACUGAUAUAUUGACAUACAGGUUUAACAAAAUUCCUAUCAGUAUUUAUACAAUACUUCUUUUCUUUUCCAUUUGUGUGUAUGUGUGUGAGAAUGCAUGCCUGCCUGCCUGUGUGCAUGUGUGUGUAUGUAUGUUGAGUGUUAAGCAUAUGUGUGAAGAGUAUAUGUGUAUAUGGGCACAUGUACAAGUCAAGGCCAGAGGUUGAAGUCAAGAUUAUUCUUGAUCGUUCUUCCACCUUACACAAUGAGGCAGUGUCUUAGGGUUUCUAUUCCUGCACAAACAGCAUGACCAAGAAGCAAGUUGGGGAGGAAAGGGUUUAUUUGGCUUACACUUCCAUACUGCUGUUUAUCACCAAAGGAAGUCAGGACUAGAACUCAAGCAGGUCAGAAAGCAGGAGCCGAUGCAGAGGCCAUGGAGGGAUGUUCUUUACUGGCUUGCCUCACCUGGCUUGCUCAGCCUGCUCUCUUAUAGAACCCAAGACUAUCAGCCCAGAGAUGGUCCCACCCACAAGGGGCCUUUCCCCCUUGAUCACUAAUUGAGAAAAUGCCCCACAGCUGGAUCUCAUGGAGGCACUUCCUCAACUGAAGCUCCUUUCUCUGUGAUAACUCCAGCUAUGUCAAGUUGACACAAAACUAGUCAGUACAUGCAGGGAACCUAGAACCCACCAUGUGCCUGGUGUUCUCAGCCAGUUUGCUCUGGGGAUCCCCUCACUCUGGUUCCCGAGGCUGGGCCACCAUGCCCAUUUGGCAUUUGCGUGGACUGUAGGGACCCAAACUUCUGUCUGUAUACUUGUGUGGUAAGCACUUUAACCUCUCAGCACCUUACCAGCCCUGCAAUAUCUUUUAUGGGCAUAGGUAAGAAUAUUCCCAAAAUGUUCAUGGAAAGCAAGUGAACCAAACUGGCUAAGAUAAUUUCGGGAGAGAAGAAUAAAGUCGAAAGACUCAGUCUAUCCAAUGCUGAAAUUCACCAUAUAGCAACGGUGUUAAGACUGCAUCUUAGUUACGUCAGCAGAGGAAUAACCCACAGGUCAAUGGGACUGAAAAGGAAACCUAGAACCAGACAACCAGACAACCAGACCUGCAGAAACGGACCCCACUCAUUUCUGGCAAAGAUUUAUAAGUAACUCAGUGGGGAAGAAAGCCUUUCCAAUAUCCAUGCCAUAGCACAUAGACAUAGUGUAACAACAACAACAACACUCUCCCUUUGUCUCAUAUCACACAUACAAAUUAACCCCAAACCCAUCAUGAGUUUAAUGCGAGAAAUGUAAAACUAUGAAACGUUUAGAACAAAAUCUAAGAGACGUUUAGGAUGUAGGUUUAAGCAGGAUUCUUAGACAAUGUGUAACAGCACAAUCCAUAAAAAGAAACGCUGAUAAAUUGGGCUUCAUUAAAAUUAAAGACUUCUGUGAGAGGCUGUUGGGAAGAUGAAGAAAGAAACUCU